CAGGACGAACGCUGGCGGCGUGCCUAACACAUGCAAGUCGAACGGAGUUAAUGAUUUCGGUUGUUAACUUAGUGGCGAACGGGUGAGUAACGCGUGAACAACCUGACCCAAAGAGGGGGAUAACAUUUGGAAACAGAUGCUAAUACCGCAUAAGACCACAACGUCACAUGGCGAAGGGGUCAAAGGAGCAAUCCGCUUUGGGAGGGGUUCGCGUCCCAUUAGGUAGUAGGCGGGGUAACAGCCCACCUAGCCAACGAUGGGUAGCCGAGCUGAGAGGCUGAUCGGCCACACUGGAACUGAGACACGGUCCAGACUCCUACGGGAGGCAGCAGUGGGGAAUAUUGGGCAAUGGGCGCAAGCCUGACCCAGCAACGCCGCGUGAGGGAAGAAGGUUUUCGGAUUGUAAACCUCUGUCGCAGAAGACGAAGGAAGUGACGGUAUUCUGUGAGGAAGCCCCGGCUAACUACGUGCCAGCCGCGGC
rnacentral:rRNA from 1 species